UACAGAGGAGCCAAGCGUUGUCCGGAUUUAUUGGGCGUAAAGCGCUCGCAGGUGGUUCGUCGCGUCGUGCGUGAAAGACCCCGGCUCAACUGGGGAGGGUCGUGCGAUACGGGCGAACUGGAGGCCAGUAGGGGGAUGCGGAAUUCCGGGUGUAGUGGUGGAAUGCGUAGAGAUCCGGAGGAACACCAGCGGCGAAGGCGGCAUCCUGGACUGGUCCUGACACUCAGGAGCGAAAGCGUGGGGAGCGAUCCGG
rnacentral:rRNA from 1 species